rnacentral:rRNA from 1 species
AGCGAACGCUGGCGGCAUGCCUAACACAUGCAAGUCUGACGGGCGGGGGCUUUUGGGCUCUGUCAGUGGCGGACGGGUGAGGAGCGCGUAGGAACGUAUCCAGGGGUGGGGGACAACCGCGGGAAACUGCGGCUAAUACCGCAUGGGGCCUUGGUGGGGAGACCCGGAAAGGGGGGAUCCGGGGCCAAAGGCGAGGGCGACCUCGCCGCCGCUGGAGCGGCCUGCGUCCGAUUAGCUAGUUGGUGGGGUGACAGCCCACCAAGGCUGUGAUCGGUAGCUGGUCUGAGAGGAUGAUCAGCCACACUGGGACUGAGACACGG